UGGGGAAUAUUGCACAAUGGGCGCAAGCCUGAUGCAGCCAUGCCGCGUGUGUGAAGAAGGCCUUCGGGUUGUAAAGCACUUUCAGCGAGGAGGAAGGUGGUGAAGCUUAAUACGUCAUCAAUUGACGUUACUCGCAGAAGAAGCACCGGCUAACUCCGUGCCAGCAGCCGCGGUAAUACGGAGGGUGCAAGCGUUAAUCGGAAUUACUGGGCGUAAAGCGCACGCAGGCGGUUUGUUAAGUCAGAUGUGAAAUCCCCGGGCUCAACCUGGGAACUGCAUUUGAAACUGGCAAGCUAGAGUCUCGUAGAGGGGGGUAGAAUUCCAGGUGUAGCGGUGAAAUGCGUAGAGAUCUGGAGGAAUACCGGUGGCGAAGGCGGCCCCCCUGGACGAAGACUGACGCUCAGGUGCGAAAGCGUGGGGAGCAAACAGAUUAGAUACCCUGGUAGUCCACGCUGUAAACGAUGUCGAUUUUGGAGGUUGUGCCCCUUGAGGCGUGGNUUCCGGAGCUAACGNGUUAAAU
rnacentral:rRNA from 1 species